UACCCUUCUACUCCUUUAAAUUAAAUCCGGACUAUUCAAUACUCUUAACUCAAUCUUGAUUUUGUUCCUGAUUUUCAGCAAUUUCUUCGAUUUACUUCACGGUAGAAUCACAUUCAUGUAUAAAAGUCUCGCUAUAUCAGCUAUUGAUUACCGAGAUUUAUGCGUUUAUUGUCGAGGCUAAUUUUAGGUUUGAUAAGCAAUAACUAUUGGAGGAAGAAUAAGGUCGAUUACCCCUAUCGUUGUCGCCACAGCAUCAAGGCAUUGCCAUCGAUCUCCACUAUUGGGUUUAAGACUUUGGUUGCUUGUGGUAUCGAUGUUGAUUCUUCUACUAAAAAGGAAGAGAAGGUUUGGCCAUUACCGAUGUUUCAACUUUUAAGAGUGUGAUUGGUUGUUUUAGUCGAGAUCUCCUCCAUGAUUUUCCAAUGAUGGCACUAUUAAAGAAUAUGACAAACGACAUGGUUCUUAUAUUACGAAUGGUAAGUAUUCUAUCUUUUGGGUGAGACAACUCCUUCCAUGUAUUCUUAUCUCCUUUUUCUAUAAAAAAAAUUUAAGAAAGUAUGUGAUGAUAAAAUUGGAUUUCUGGUUUUCUUAUUUGUGGCUUUUCUUAUUUAUGUAAUUAUUAUUAUUAAACUAUUUGGACUUGUGUUAUAUUACUCACAUUCAUUUUUAAUGAAAUUAAGGUUUAGUAA